CAGAGAGCCGUUGAGGACUCGCUGUGUGGCAGUUCCCCAGCCCUGGGCUCAGUCAGCGCCUUGUCAGCACCUGGUGAGCACCGCAGGAGCGCCCUGGAGCCAGGUGCUGCUGUCCAGCCCCAAGCUGCAACAGUGAGACACCUUCAGUCCUCAGAUGUUCAAGACUUGUAGCUUCUUGAUAGUGCACCAAAGAUGCCAGUCUGGGAGUGGACUGAAGCCAUCCAGCUCCUGGGGGCUGACUUCAGAGCAACCUGUGGAACUGCUGGAUUCUAUCCCCACUUGGACUCUUCCCUUUGAACAACUAAUGAUUGACAAAGAGGUGGUUGGUUUCUGGGUAGCUGUGGCAAGCAUGCAGUGAAAUCAAGAAAAGGAACACAGGAAUAGCUCAACAUGUGACCAUCAAUCAGUAUACGACAUUAGCAGACUGAAGUAAAGGAAGCAUUUGAAAAGAUUCAACACUAUCUUAAGAAGAAAAAAAAUUACAGUUAACAGAGUUGGACUAGAAGGAAACUACCUCAACAGAGAUAUUACAUGAAAAGCCACAGCUAACAUCAUAUUUAAUAGUAAAAGCUUGUUUGGUAAAAUUGGCAAAAUGUUCAGGACACAUGCUUUCCCCUUCCAUUCAAUAUAAUAGUGAAAGUUCUGGGCCAGAAGCAUAAGGAAAGAAAAUGAAAUUAAGGCAUCCAAAUGGGGAAGAAAGAAAGUAUAUCCUUUCACAGAAGACAUAACACAUAUGUAGAAAAUCCUGAAGAUGUCACACAGAAAAUUGUCAGAACAUAUAAUUUUAGUAAAAUUGUAGAAUGUGAAGGUAACACCCCAAAGGAAAUUGAGAACACAAUUCCAAGGCAUCACAUUUGCUGAUUUCAACUAUGAAAAGCUAGGAUAUCAAGACAGCAUGGGACUUGCAUGAAAACAGGCACAUAGUCCAGCAGAGCCAAGCUGAGAGCCCAGACUUCAACCCACACAUGGGGUCAAGUCAUGUUUGUCAAGGGGGCCAGAAGUGCAUGAGAGGGAAAGGACAGUCUCCUUAGUACACGGUGCUGCAGAGACUGGGCACCUACACACAGAAGGAUGAAAUUGGACCCUUAUUUUAUGUUCCAUACACAGAAAGGAUCUUGAAAUGGAAAACAGACUUAAAUGUAAGUCCUGAAACUCUCAGAAGAAAACCGAGGGGAAAUCUCUUGAUAUGGGAUUUAGCAAUGAUUUUUUGGACAUGAGACCAACAGGAUGGGCAACAGAAGAAAACUAAACAAGCAGGGCUACAAAAAGCAAAGGAAUCCAUCCAUAAAAUGAAAGGCCAAUGUCCAAAGUGGGGGAAAUAUUUACAAAACACAUCUGACAGGGGUUAAGAUGACUCUAAUAGUGGGGAAAAGGCCUGCCUUGGCGUUUUCCCAAAGGAAAUGACAGGUUACCAACAGGUAUGAAAAGGUGCUCAGCAUCACUAAUGGCUGGGAAUGCAGAUUCAAAACCAAAAUGAGGUGUCACUGAGCACCUGUUAGGCUGGCUCUUGGCAAGAAGUCUAAAGAACAAGUGUUGGCAUGGCUAUGGAUCAGUGGGGACCCUUGUACACUGUUGGUUCAGAAUUUCACCUUUACAAGUGGAAAGAGUUCUGGAGGUGGACAGAGGUGGUUAUUGAGCAAUAAUGUAUUUAAUAUUAUUGAACAGUACACUUAGAAAUGGUAAAGAUGGUCAAAUUUUAUGAUACAUGCCUUUCCCACAGUUUAAAAAAUAAAAAUUAAAAAUUUAUGUUGAA